GAUGAACGCUGGCGGCGUGCCUAAUACAUGCAAGUCGAGCGAACGGACGAGAAGCUUGCUUUUCUGAUGUUAGCGGCGGACGGGUGAGUAACACGUGGAUAACCUACCUAUAAGACUGGGAUAACUUCGGGAAACCGGAGCUAAUACCGGAUAAUAUUUUGAACCGCAUGGUUCAAAAGUGAAAGACGGUCUUGCUGUCACUUAUAGAUGGAUCCGCGCUGCAUUAGCUAGUUGGUAAGGUAACGGCUUACCAAGGCAACGAUGCAUAGCCGACCUGAGAGGGUGAUCGGCCACACUGGAACUGAGACACGGUCCAGACUCCUACGGGAGGCAGCAGUAGGGAAUCUUCCGCAAUGGGCGAAAGCCUGACGGAGCAACGCCGCGUGAGUGAUGAAGGUCUUCGGAUCGUAAAACUCUGUUAUUAGGGAAGAACAUAUGUGUAAGUAACUGUGCACAUCUUGACGGUACCUAAUCAGAAAGCCACGGCUAACUACGUGCCAGCAGCCGCGGUAAUACGUAGGUGGCAAGCGUUAUCCGGAAUUAUUGGGCGUAAAGCGCGCGUAGGCGGUUUUUUAAGUCUGAUGUGAAAGCCCACGGCUCAACCGUGGAGGGUCAUUGGAAACUGGAAAACUUGAGUGCAGAAGAGGAAAGUGGAAUUCCAUGUGUAGCGGUGAAAUGCGCAGAGAUAUGGAGGAACACCAGUGGCGAAGGCGACUUUCUGGUCUGUAACUGACGCUGAUGUGCGAAAGCGUGGGGAUCAAACAGGAUUAGAUACCCUGGUAGUCCACGCCGUAAACGAUGAGUGCUAAGUGUUAGGGGGUUUCCGCCCCUUAGUGCUGCAGCUAACGCAUUAAGCACUCCGCCUGGGGAGUACGACCGCAAGGUUGAAACUCAAAGGAAUUGACGGGGACCCGCACAAGCGGUGGAGCAUGUGGUUUAAUUCGAAGCAACGCGAAGAACCUUACCAAAUCUUGACAUCCUUUGACAACUCUAGAGAUAGAGCCUUCCCCUUCGGGGGACAAAGUGACAGGUGGUGCAUGGUUGUCGUCAGCUCGUGUCGUGAGAUGUUGGGUUAAGUCCCGCAACGAGCGCAACCCUUAAGCUUAGUUGCCAUCAUUAAGUUGGGCACUCUAAGUUGACUGCCGGUGACAAACCGGAGGAAGGUGGGGAUGACGUCAAAUCAUCAUGCCCCUUAUGGUUUGGGCUGCACACGUGCUACAAUGGACAAUACAAAGGGCAGCGAAACCGCGAGGUCAAGCAAAUCCCAUAAAGUUGUUCUCAGUUCGGAUUGUAGUCUGCAACUCGACUACAUGAAGCUGGAAUCGCUAGUAAUCGUAGAUCAGCAUGCUACGGUGAAUACGUUCCCGGGUCU
rnacentral:rRNA from 1 species